AAGUUCAAUAUGGAACAAUAAAAUGCCUCCAUACUGAACAUGUAAGACUUCUGAAUGACUAAAAAUUUUCAGUAAUUAAUGCUUUGUGGAUGUUUAUAGGCUUAUAGCUCUUUUUUGUGCACAUGGCUUAUAGCUCUUUCACAAAGAAUAUCAUUUCCUGGGACUAAUUAUUUAAUAUCACACUAAUCGUCCUUAGUGUGCAAUAAUAUGAAUUCUAGGCAUACUACUAUUUCAUAUCUGGCCCACACGUUAACCUAAGCUUAAAUAAAUAAACAAAUAGACUUGACUAUCUGAAAACAUUAUCUAAAUUCUCGAGCUCUACCACCGCUCAUUAAAUCUGAUCUAAAAAUAACACCAAAGAACCUUAAAAUGCUGGCUGAUGAACCUCUUAAUAGCUCUCUCCCAUCAAAAAUCACAAUAAAUAUGCGGCAAAAAACCUAAAAACAGUACACAAUUUCAAGAUCUAUAUAUGUCAGUAUCUCUCUCUCUCUAUCUAUGUAUGUAAGAUAUGGUGAGAUGAAGAAUCAGUUAGCUUUCCCUGACUCCCAUGAAGACAAUGACCCAACAUCACCACCAUCAUCAUCAUUCAUCAUUAUCAUCACCAUCUCUUUUUGUUUGUCCCUUCUUUGAACCACCACUUGCUAAAACCUAGCUAGUUGCUAGUGGCUACAUCCACCUACUUCUUCUUUUUUCUAUAAGUUACUGUUCGUCACUUAUAGUUUCAGCACUACUCGGUUGGGAGAAGUUUCAGAAAGAGAGCUAGCUAGGGUUUGCACACAGGUCCAGUUAAAUCAGAGCUGGUGAAACUUCAAUCAAGAUCCACUGUAAGAGGUUUUUUAUCAUCACAUCUACCAUUAGAGUUGACUUGCAUAAGAUCUAAUAUCUUCUCUUUUUUCAACUUUCCGGUUUUUUCUUUACCUCGUCUAAUGAUCUUCUAUUACCAUCUGUUACUUACUUUAGUUCUAAUAAAAUCAUUUACUUCAGCCCACAAGAAAGAUAAACAAAAUUAGGCUCUUUUCAUUAAUAUCUGGAUUUUAGGGUUUUCCCCCUUGUCUAGACCAUGAA
rnacentral:lncRNA from 1 species